rnacentral:rRNA from 1 species
CCUACGGGAGGCAGCAGUGAGGAAUAUUGGUCAAUGGCCGUAAGGCUGAACCAGCCAAGUCGCGUGAAGGAAGAAGGAUCUCUGGUUUGUAAACUUCUUUUAUAGGGGAAUAAAGGUAUCCACGUGUGGAUAUUUGCAUGUACCCUAUGAAUAAGCAUCGGCUAACUCCGGGCCAGCAGCCGCGGUAAUACGGGGGAUGCGAGCGUUAUCCGGAUUUAUUGGGUUUAAAGGGUGCGUAGGUUGUUGUUUAAGUCAGCGGUGAAAGUUUGUGGCUCAACCAUAGAAUUGCCGUUGAAACUGGAAGACUUGAGUGUGUUUGAGGGAGGCGGAAUGCGUGGUGUAGCGGUGAAAUGCAUAGAGAUCACGCAGAACUCCGAUUGCGAAGGCAGCUUACUAAGCAAUAACUGACACUGAGGUACGAAAGCGUGGGGAGCAAACAGGAUUAGAUACCCCAGUAGUC